AUGGCCUCUUCCAACUGGGGCACAGCCAUCCCGUCGGUGUCUGUCCUGCGCCACGUUCCCGGCAGCACGUGGCUGGAGAAGCGGGGCCAGGAUGGAUGGAGAGCGCUAUGGAUCAAUGAGAAACCCAAGUGGCUCAGGAGACUGGACAAGAGAACCAACAGGCUUUACACAGGCCUCCAGCUGCCCCUGGGCACUCAGGACACUGAGUGCAGGACACUGAGCUCCCUCAGUGCAGAUCUUGGUGGUACAUCUUCCCUGGACCCCCAGCAGCAGCCCCAGGACCAGAAGCAGCAGCGGCCUUGCAAAGCCCCUGGCCAGCCUCUGCAUGGCUCCUCUGCAGCCUUCAGUGUCCGGCUGGCCAGUCUGUGCCUGGUUCCCUCAGCACAGCAACAGGAGGGGGCCAGGGCCGCAGGAUGCUCGGCACCUGGGGUGAUCAUCACGGUGAGAUCACCGCCUCAAGCCUCCAUCCAGAAGCCGUCCGUCUUCCCCUUGCGCUCCUGCUGCAGCGAGGCCACCUCCGUGUCGCUGGGCUGCCUGGUCACAGGCUACUUCCCAGAGCCAGUGACUGUGACCUGGGACACAGGGUCCCUGAAUGUGAGCACCCUGAACUUCCCCACCGCCAAACUCAGCUCCGGCCUCCUGGCCAGAACCAGCCAGGUGACCGUGUCCGGCACAGGGGAGUGGGCCAGGAAGAGUUUCACCUGCAGCGUGGGCCAUGCUCCAUCGUCGACAUCCCAGGUCAACAAGACCUUCCAAGGUUGCUUGCUCUCCAACUUCACCGGCCCUGAUGUGAUGCUCUUCCACUCAUCCUGUGACCCCAGUGGGUCUCACUCCGUCAUCCAGCUCUAUUGCCUCAUUUCUGGCUACACCCCCGGUGACCUCGAUGUCACUUGGCUGAAGGACGGGAAGCCACUCUUCAAAACGGCCUCCUCCAUUGCCCCACCCACGCAGGAAGGCAAGCUGGCCUCCACCCACAGCAAGAUCAACGUCACCCAGGAAGACUGGAUGUCAGAGAGCAUCUUCACCUGCCAGGUCACCACCCACGGCUUCAGCUACCGGGCCCAUGCCCAUAAGUGCACAGAUGAUGAGCCACGAGGGAUAAGUACCUACCUGAUCCCGCCCAGCCCUCUGGACCUGUACGUCCGCACAGCGCCCAAGCUCACCUGUCUGGUGGUAGACCUGGAAAGCAAAGAGGGCGUGACAGUGGUCUGGACCCGGGACAGCCAGAAGCCAGUGACCUCAGACCCCUGGAAGGCCAACAAGCAGCUCAACGCUACAUUCAGCAUCGUCUCCACCCUGCCAGUGGACGCCAAGGACUGGAUCGAUGGCGAGACCUACCGCUGCACGGUGACACACCCUGAUCUGCCCAAGCCCAUCGUUCGGUCCAUCACCAAGGCCCCCGGCAAGCGCAUGCCCCCCGAGGUCUACGUGUUCCUGACACCUGAGGAGCAAGGGGGCCAGGACAAGCUCACCCUCACCUGCCUGAUCCAGAACUUCUUCCCYGUGGACAUCUCGGUGCAGUGGCUUCGCAACGGGCAGAUCCACAAUGACCAGCACAGCACCACAGCGCCCCUCAAGACCAACACCUCCCACCCCUCCUUCUUCAUCUUCAGCCGCCUAGAGAUAACCCUGGCAGACUGGGCSCUGAAUACCAAGUUCACCUGCCGCGUGGUCCACGAGGCACUUCCUGGCCGGAGAACCCUUGAGAAAACCGUGUUCAAGAGCCCUGGUAAAUGAAGCCACCCUGCCRGCCUCUCCCCGCAGGGCUCAUC